GCUGUAGUAGCUCAGUGGUAGAGCGCAUUGAGAUCGGGAGUUCAAUCUUCCCCUACAGCA
rnacentral:tRNA from 1 species